CCAGAGGAUUGGAAGUUAGCUAAUGCAACUCCUCUUUUCAAUGGUGGUGAUAAAAAUUGUCCCAGUAAUUAUAUACCCAUUAGCCUUACAUCAACUGUGGGAAAAAUUAUGGAAAGUCUGUCAAAAGAUUCUUUGCAAAGUCAUUUAACAAAGUUUAGAAUUUUAUUGGAUAGUCAACAUGGUUAUACUAAGGG